UAUUUUUAUUUUUUAUGAUCAAACCAGAAGCAGGAUCUCUGAAGACAAAAACCUCAAACCCUUAAAAUCAUUUCCUUCUUCUUUUUCCUGAUGAGUCUUUCUCUGAAUAGAUUAUUGAAUUCGCGUUCUGGGUUUCCUUGGAAACGGCGUUUUGGCCAUUUCUUCUCCUCAACAGCUGCCCACACCAGAUCUUUCUCACUGUACAGGAGGAUGUCCCCACUCUACUGGAGGAUUUUCCCACUAGGCGAUUCUAAGAUUUCCAUGGUUCCAGUCCUUGAUGAAUGGGUACAAAAAGGAAGGACGGUAAAUGAAGAAGAGCUUCGGGACAUUAUCCAGAAAUUGAAUCAUUACAGGCGCUUCAAGCAUGCUCUCGAGAUAUCUCAAUGGAUGAGUGAUAAAAGGUACAUUCCCCUGAUGCCCAGAGACAUUGCCCUCAGGAUGAACUUGAUCUUAAAAGUUCAUGGCCUAGAACAAGUAGAGAAUUAUUUUAACAACAUCCAUAAAAAUUUGAAAACCUACCAGGUUUAUAUUGCUCUUCUCAACUGCUAUGCUCUAGAGAAAUCUGUGGACAAAGCAGAAGCCAUCAUGCAGAGGUUGAGGGAUUUGGGUUUUGUUAGGACAGCACUAGGUUACAAUACUUUGAUGAAUGUCUAUUAUCGCAUGGGAAAUUGGGAGAAACUAGACAUCCUGAUGCAUGAAAUGGAGGAAAAGGGUAUCUUCUGUGACAAAUUUACCCUCGCCAUCCGACUGAGUGCAUAUGCAGCUGCCUCCAACAUCGUGGGAAUAGAUAACAUUGUGACAAGGAUGGAAUCGGAUCCCCGGAUUAUUCUAGAUUGGAAUAGUUAUGCAGUUGUAGCACAUGGAUAUUUGAAAGUUGGUCUGGUAGACAAGACUUUGGUAAUGAUGAAGAAAUUGGAGGAGCUGAUAGAUGCCAAAGGAAGUAAUGUUGCAUUUGAUAAUCUCCUCAAGCUAUACGCAGAAACUAGGCAGAGAGAUGAGUUGGACAGGGUUUGGAUGCUUUACAAGAAAAAGGAGAAAAUUUACAACAAGGGCUAUAUGGCCAUGAUAAGCUCGCUGUUGAAGUUUGAUGACAUUGAUGCUGCUGAGAAGGUUCUUGAGGAGUGGGAAUCCCGGAGAUUAUCCUACGAUUUCCGGGUUCCAAACUUCUUGAUUGAUGCAUAUUGCAGAAAAGGUCUUACAGAGAAGGCUGAGGCCCUUGUAAACAAGAUACUUACAAAAGGUGGCAAUCCUUUGGUUGAUACUUGGUUUUAUUUAGCAAAUGGUUAUCUUGAAGACAGUCAAAUUCCAAAAGCAGUGGAAGCAUUGAAGAAAGCAGUCGUGGUUUGUCCUCCCAAUUGGAAACCCAGCAAGAAUACUUUGGCAACUUGUUUGGAAUAUUUGGAAGGGAAUAGAGAUGUGGAAGGAGCAGGUGAGUUCAUAAGGUUCCUGCAAAAUGAGGGUAUUUUCUCAGUGGGUGUUUGCAAAAGAUUACUAAGUUACAUUGAGAAUGGAAAACCCCAACCCAACAGGCUUGGUGAAAUAGAAGGGGAUGUUUAGUCACGGAAGUGGAGAUACAUGGAAUCACAGAGCCAAGCAGAAGUGCAUGAUGAAAUUUUGAAGCAUUCCUAUUAUGGAUUUCAGAAGUCAAAAGCUUAGGUAGCUUAACUCAGUGUUUGUUCUGACAUUGUUGUGCCAGAAAAAGAUCCUCAAGGCACAAGGCGUCCUAAUUUAAUCAUGCAGUGGAAUGAUUAGGAACCGCAGGAAAGAUUUCCUGUGGCAUCCAUAUAUGGCUGUUAGCAUCCCAGUGUUGGGACAAUAUCACAGAAUGAUGUUAUCAUCAUUGUUCACCAAGUAGCAAGCAAGCAAGUGAUCAGGAGAAUGUUGGGGGAAAAAAUUCUCCUCUGCUUUUGCAGAACUGCAUCAACCCUUCAUUUAGCUGCAGACUUUUGGGUAUAGACACCAGUAUCAUAGGCUGCAGGAUGUUUAUCAUAGUUUUCUGCAAGUUGAAUAAGGAUUCUGUGUUGUUGUAUAUGGAUUACUUGAACCAAAUCUUGUUCAUUGGUCUGCCAUGCUUGCUCUGGUCCAUGUUUGUUGGAUGGGCAAUGGAUAUUCAACUUUGUUAGUAAGGCUGUAACGAGCAAGUUCAGCCAUUAUCUAAUGCUGUGUUUGGUUCCUAGUAAGCAUACAAGAAAAAAAUGCUAAAGAAAAUUAUUUUUUCA